AUGAACGCUGGCGGCGUGCCUAAUACAUGCAAGUCGAGCGAACAGACGAGGAGCUUGCUCCUCUGACGUUAGCGGCGGACGGGUGAGUAACACGUGGAUAACCUACCUAUAAGACUGGGAUAACUUCGGGAAACCGGAGCUAAUACCGGAUAAUAUAUUGAACCGCAUGGUUCAAUAGUGAAAGACGGUUUUGCUGUCACUUAUAGAUGGAUCCGCGCCGCAUUAGCUAGUUGCUAAGGUAACGGCUUACCAAGGCAACGAUGCGUAGCCGACCUGAGAGGGUGAUCGGCCACACUGGAACUGAGACACGGUCCAGACUCCUACGGGAGGCAGCAGUAGGGAAUCUUCCGCAAUGGGCGAAAGCCUGACGGAGCAACGCCGCGUGAGUGAUGAAGGUCUUCGGAUCGUAAAACUCUGUUAUUAGGGAAGAACAAAUGUGUAAGUAACUAUGCACGUCUUGACGGUACCUAAUCAGAAAGCCACGGCUAACUACGUG
rnacentral:rRNA from 1 species